UACAGAGGGUGCAAGCGUUAAUCGGAAUUACUGGGCGUAAAGGGCGCGUAGGCGGUUUAUUAAGUUAGGUGUGAAAUGCUCGGGCUUAACCUGAGACGUGCACUUAAUACUGGUGAGCUAGAGUAGAGUAGAGGCAAGCGGAACUCCGGGUGUAGCGGUGGAAUGCGUAGAGAUCCGGAAGAACACCGGAGGCGAAGGCGGCUUGCUGGGCGUGAUCUGACGCUGAGGCGCGAAAGCGUGGGGAGCGAACAGG
rnacentral:rRNA from 1 species